GAGGAUAUAGCUCAGUGGUAGAGUGUAUGCUUAGCAUGCACGAGGUCCUGGGUUCAAUUCCUAGUACCUCCA
rnacentral:tRNA from 1 species